CCCAGGAUGCCUAUGGCGAUCUGGGUGCAGAGGGAGAGGCACCAGCAAAGUCCCUGAGGUAGAAAAGAACGCGUGUGAGGAAGAGCCAGAGGACCAGUGUGGCUGCCGUGGCACAGAAACGGAAUGCGGCUCAAAGACAUGCCGUGCGGAUCAUGCCGGGCUUCGUGGAUCUUGGCCAUGAGCUUGGAGUUUAUUGUAAAGGUGUUGGGCCUUCACUGAGCAGUGAGGUAGAGCGCCUGCAGGCUGAGGUGACAGCAUUGGAGACCAUGCUGACAACCUCCCCUGCAUGGUGUGGGGGAGGAGGUGUCAGCAGACCACAGGGGUAGACUCUGUGGGGGCCUCUGGUCUCCUUUCCAGUGCUGAGCCGCCAGAAGCACAGAGUGAAUGGAAGUGAACCCAUCGUUUCUAAGUGGAAUGGAGCAUCACAGAAGAGGCCCAGGGUGAAGUGCUUUAGUUGACAUUUUGGUUUCCUAGAGUUGGAAUUGGACAGAUUGUUGCUGGAGCGGUUUCCACUUCUUGUUAACUUGAGAUAUUCAAACGCUUUCUACUUGGAAAUGCCUGUACGGGAAGCCACGAAGAAUGUUUGAGGAUGCCCUGCGCCUGCUGUUUGGUUUUGAACAAACACGAGUGAAGGUGUGCGAUUUGAAUGAGGGCAGGUAAUACAGCUUCUGCUAAUUCAGGGUCACGCUGCGCGGUCCUUCCAGCUAAGUGUGUUUUGAUUGGUUCUUGUAUGUAAUUAAGUUUGGUUCAGAAGAGUAACAAAGCCAAGUGCAAGAGUAAUGAACUCUAGAGCAUGAUAAAAGUUUUUUUUUUACCAUCAAUAAACUCAUCCGUGAGAAAGGCCUUUUAAUAAAUUUUGCACGGCCUACAUUUUAACACCCUCCCACCUCCCCUGUUUAGUAAUCAUGUACAGUAAAUGCCAUCGUUUGAAGGUGUUAGUGAUGAUUGUUUUUACUGUGAGGACCUUCUGACUCAGCGACUCACACAGGGUCACACAGGCUGGCGAGGGAGGGGCAGCUGGGCGGACAGCCACACAGACAGACACAGUGAGGUCACCAGGGCUCGGUCUUCUUAGCACUCAGGGAACUAUGGUGAGACACUUGCAAAGGGCAGUUUUGAAGGAAGCGGGGUAGGAAGCAGCCAGAAAUAAAGCCUGCCCUUUGCGUGGAGACCCUCUCAUCCAGGGGCACCCGUGUUUAGCCUGACAUUUGUUUCUCCUUAAUUCCAGCUCAGAGAUAUAAUUUAAAGUACUUUGCAUUAAUCCAUGCUGGCCGUUGUCACCAUCCUCUGGAAACAGUUAAAGCGAAGAAGAAUUUGCCAAGUAAGGUGACCCGCGGGCGUGGUCUAGUCCUGGAAGAGCUUAGAAUCUGGAGAGUCAACAUCUGUGAGUUAGGACUUAAGUUUAGUCCAAGGCUGAGUGACACUUGAUUACAAAUGAAGGAGCGGAGAGAAACCAGCGCAAAGCUUUCGUGAUGCAAAAUCCACCUUCCAAUUCAGACUUGGGUCUCACCUGUGCUUUAGAAAAAGAGAAACACCACUUUUGAAAUUUAUCUUCUAGGCACUGAUGUGUUUGCUGUGCCAAGUCCUGAGUUUUUAGGAUGGAAAUCAAGAUUGCCAUGAGUGGAAAACUAGGUAGCAAGAGCAUGUCAGUCACUUUUGGAACAGGAAGAAAACCAAAGUUGAUGCUUCUCAUGGAUAAUCAGCCUCUUUCCCCCAACCCGAACCCUGCAGAGGGAUCAUCCGAUUUUAGCAGGAAUACAUGAAGUGUCAGGCUGAAUAGGAACUUUCAGAAAAAGUCCGGGAAUAAAAUGAUUCAAGUUGAAUAUCGACCCAUUGUAAAAGUAAGAUGAAAAAAAGAGAGUUUUCAAGCAAAGAUCGAGUUGCAAUUGUCCAGUUCUUGAUGCAUCAAAAGAAAAAGGGAAAGUUGCAGAAAGGUGCAAUUACGUUAGCUGCAAAACAAUUUAAGUGCAACACAAUGACCAUAUCAAGAAUUUGGAAACGUGCUUCCGAAAAUAAUUGUCAAGGAGAAUCUUAUGCUAAUGUUGAUUCUUUGGAAAAACAAAACUGUGGACAUAAAUGCAAAGAUUAUGGAGAAAAACUUGUAAAACUUAGACAUAGUCCUCUUAGCAGAAGAGGCACCAUAUUAGCCUUUGAUAAUAUUUCUCCCGAAAUACUGGAUACAAACGUUUCUGUCACUUCAACAAGUUAUGCUGGAAGCAAUGAAGAACGACGGCUCCAAUAACUUUAAGCUCACGCACAUAGGGAAAGCAAAGCCUCGCAGCCAAGGGAUCCUACCUAGAAGUUUAAAAUGCAGUAACGAAAUUAUUGAAAAAUCCAGAAACUGUCUGAACUCUCAAAAUAAAAAUUAGGAGUACUAUUUUUAA